CAACUGUGACCCAGCGACGACUGACUGUCGGCAACAGAAUGGCACAACGUUUUGCAAAUGCAAGGACGGAUAUGAGAAAUUUAAUCCAUCAGAAAAAUUCUGCAUCGAUAUAAACGAAUGUGAAACUAACAGCUGUAACAAUGAAACUUGUGUAAAUCUUCCUGGAAACUGGACGUGCCAAUGUAAAAACAGCGGCUUUUUUCCGGUUCAAGACGACAGAAAUAAUUUUACAUGUGAAGACAUUGACGAAUGUAACUCAACAGAAUAUACCUGUGAGCAUGGAAAUUGCUCUAACACAGUAGGUAACUGGAAUUGCACUUGCCUUAGUGUUGGAUUUUGGAGGAAUGAGAUUUCCAAGGAUGUUGUGGUCUGUGAAGAUAUUAAUGAGUGUUCUAAUCAAUCCUACUUUUGUGGCGGAAAAUGUAGUAAUACAGUUGGUAGCUGGGCAUGCGACUGCGAUACUGGAUUCCGGUCUCAUCCGAACAAAACCAGAUAUGCAUCAA